rnacentral:SRP_RNA from 2 species
GCCAGGUGUGGUGGCGCACACCUGUAGUCCCAGCUACUCAGGAGGCUGAGGCAGAAGAGUCGCUUGAACCUAGGAGGCGGAGGUUACAGUGAGCCGAGAUGACGCCACUGCACUCCAGCCUGGGCGACAGAGCAACACUCUGCCUCAA